CGACAACACUACAGUAGAUAGGACGACCGCUAACGGCUCCACCUUAAACAGGACGACCGCUGUCAGGUCCACCUUAAACAGGACGACCGCUGUCAGGUCCACCUUAAACAGGACGACCACCGGCAGGUCCACCUUAAACAGGACGACCGCUAACGGCUCCACCUUAAACAGGACGACCGCUGUCAGGUCCACCUUAAACAGGACGACCGCUGUCAGGUCCACCUUAAACAGGACGACCGCUAAUGGGUCCACCUUAAACAGGACGACCGCCGGCAGGUCCACCUUAAACAGGACGACCGCUAAUGGGUCCACCUUAAACAGGAUGACCGCCGGCAGGUCCACCUUAAACAGGACGACCGCUAAUGGGUCCACCUUAAACAGGACGACCGCCGGCAGGUCCACCUUAAACAGGACGACCGCUAAUGGGUCCACCUUAAACAGGACGACCGCCGGCAGGUCCACCUUAAACAGGACGACCGCUAAUGGGUCCACCUUAAACAGGAUGACCGCCGGCAGGUCCACCUUAAACAGGACGACCGCUAACGGGUCCACCUUAAACAGGACGCCCGCUAAC